CUGGUACAGGCCUGGGGGAUAG
rnacentral:miRNA from 1 species